GUCUGACCCGGGCUUUACCCAACAGAGGUGACCUCAGAGGAGGUUGAUCCAUGUGCCUUCUGGUUUCCCCGACAUAAUUAUGCUGUAAUUGAAAUUGUGCUUCAUGGUAACUUGAGGUCAUCAUUUUCCCGACUGCCUAUAUCAUCUCAGUGUAGACACAAGCACCAUUAUGCUGGUCUUGGAAAUCUGGCCUCAUCCGUUCUUCCCACAUCUUCAUUUCAGUGGAAUCAUGUUAUGGCUGGUUGAACUGGUCUGCUGCUUGUCACCAAAAGACCUUAAAAUACAACUGAACACACAGAAGACUAUUUACUGCCACUAUGUGAAUAAAAGAAAUGUCGACUGCCGAGUUUACAUCUGUGUAAAGGCAACAAAUUGAA